rnacentral:rRNA from 1 species
UACAGAGGGUGCAAGCGUUAAUCGGAAUUACUGGGCGUAAAGCGUGCGCAGACGGUUCGAUAAGUCGGGUGUGAAAGCCCCGGGCUCAACCUGGGAAUUGCAUUCGAGACUGUCGAGCUAGGGUGCGGAAGAGGGAAGCGGAAUUUCCGGUGUAGCGGUGAAAUGCGUAGAUAUCGGAAGGAACACCAGUGGCGAAAGCGGCUUCCUGGUCCAGCACCGACGUUCAGGCACGAAAGCGUGGGGAGCAAACAGG